rnacentral:rRNA from 1 species
UGCAGUCGAGCGGUAACAUUUCAAAAGCUUGCUUUUGAAGAUGACGAGCGGCGGACGGGUGAGUAAUGCCUGGGAAUUUGCCCAUUUGUGGGGGAUAACAGUUGGAAACGACUGCUAAUACCGCAUACGCCCUACGGGGGAAAGCAGGGGAACUUCGGUCCUUGCGCUGAUGGAUAAGCCCAGGUGGGAUUAGCUAGUAGGUGGGGUAAUGGCUCACCUAGGCAACGAUCCCUAGCUGGUCUGAGAGGAUGAUCAGCCACACUGGGACUGAGACACGGCCCAGACUCCUACGGGAGGCAGCAGUGGGGAAUAUUGCACAAUGGGGGAAACCCUGAUGCAGCCAUGCCGCGUGUGUGAAGAAGGCCUUCGGGUUGUAAAGCACUUUCAGCGAGGAGGAAAGGGUGUAAGUUAAUACCUUACAUCUGUGACGUUACUCGCAGAAGAAGCACCGGCUAACUCCGUGCCAGCAGCCGCGGUAAUACGGAGGGUGCGAGCGUUAAUCGGAAUUACUGGGCGUAAAGCGUGCGCAGGCGGUUUGUUAAGCGAGAUGUGAAAGCCCCGGGCUCAACCUGGGAACCGCAUUUCGAACUGGCAAACUAGAGUCCUGUAGA